rnacentral:tRNA from 1 species
UAUUUAGUGUCUGAUUAUAGAGUUAUUCUGAUAGGAUAAAACAAGUGCAUAUAAUGUACCUAAAUAA